GACGGGGGGGGCAAGUGUUCUUCGGAAUGACUGGGCGUAAAGGGCACGUAGGCGGUGAAUCGGGUUGAAAGUGAAAGUCGCCAAAAAGUGGCGGAAUGCUCUCGAAACCAAUUCACUUGAGUGAGACAGAGGAGAGUGGAAUUUCGUGUGUAGGGGUGAAAUCCGAUAGAUCUACGAAGGAACGCCAAAAGCGAAGGCAGCUCUCUGG
rnacentral:rRNA from 1 species